rnacentral:tRNA from 1 species
GCCCGCGUGAUGGAAUGGUAGACAUAACAGACUUAAAAUCUGUGGGACUUCGGUCCUUGCCGGUUCAAGUCCGGCCGCGGGUACCA